rnacentral:rRNA from 1 species
UACGAAGGGGGCUAGCGUUGCUCGGAAUCACUGGGCGUAAAGCGCACGUAGGCGGCUUUUAAGUCAGGGGUGAAAUCCUGGAGCUCAACUCCAGAACUGCCUUUGAUACUGAGAUCUUGAGUUCGGGAGAGGUGAGUGGAACUGCGAGUGUAGAGGUGAAAUUCGUAGAUAUUCGCAAGAACACCAGUGGCGAAGGCGGCUCACUGGCCCGUAUACGACGCU